GGAUGGGUGGCCGAGUGGUUUAAGGCGCACGCCUGGAAAGCGUGUUGGCUCGUAAGGGUCUCGGGGGUUCGAAUCCCCCCCCAUCCG
rnacentral:tRNA from 1 species